AUCAGGGCAACCACCCCCCAAGCACUCACACAUACAGCAGGGCAAGUACCCACACUCACACACUCAUACACCCAGCAAGGCAACCACCCCCCACACUCACACACACACCAGGCAGGGCAACCACCCCACACACACACCCAGCAGGGCAACCACCCCACACUCACACCCAUACACACCCAGCAGGGCAACCACCUCACACUCACACUGAUACCCACAAGGCAACCAACCCUCACACUCACACUC
rnacentral:lncRNA from 1 species